AAAGGAAUUGACGGGGGCCCGCACAAGCGGUGGAGCAUGUGGUUUAAUUCGACGCAACGCGAAGAACCUUACCAGCCCUUGACAUGGCAGGACGACUUCCAGAGAUGGAUUUCUUCCCUUCGGGGACCUGUACACAGGUGCUGCAUGGCUGUCGUCAGCUCGUGUCGUGAGAUGUUGGGUUAAGUCCCGCAACGAGCGCAACCCUCGCUUUUAGUUGCCAUCAUUUAGUUGGGCACUCUAGAGGGACUGCCGGUGAUAAGCCGGAGGAAGGUGGGGAUGACGUCAAGUCUUCAUGGCCCUUACGGGCUGGGCUACACACGUGCUACAAUGGCGGUGACAGAGGGCGGCCACAGCGCGAGCUGGAGCUAAUCCCAAAAAACCGUCUCAGUUCGGAUUGCACUCUGCAACUCGAGUGCAUGAAGUCGGAAUCGCUAGUAAUCGCAGAUCAGCACGCUGCGGUGAAUACGUUCCCGGGCCUUGUACACACCGCCCGU
rnacentral:rRNA from 1 species